rnacentral:piRNA from 1 species
UGACCAAGGAAAUUUGGGACGUGCCA